rnacentral:sRNA from 1 species
GGGGGUGGGGGUGGCGGGGCGCGCGCGUGUGUGUGUGUGUGUGUGGUGAUUAGUAUGCCUUUUAUUUCUUUCAGGGUCUGGAGAUAGAAGAGAAAUUCCCUGAGAAAAAGAAAAGUAGAAAGGUGUCUGGAACUGGAUUACAGUUUCUUCUGAUUGAACGCAGCCUUUGAAUACUGCCUGGCCUAUCGCGAAUACAUCCCUGCCUUGGACAAGACGCAGCUGAAUCUCUAAGUGAUGCUACUGCCACUACCACCCCAGAGCUCCAAACCUGUGCCUAAGAAAUCUCAGUCCAGCAAAAUUGUGCCCAGUCAUCAUG